CAAUGAAAAAUCAAUGUAUUGUCUUAGAUAACUGAAAACCUGCAGAGUAAUUUUACUUUUGGGGCAUGGUCUGAUCAGGACUCCGGCUAUGUUUCUUAUAGUUCUUUUGAUCCACCCUCCCCUGGCAGGUUGGCUUUCUCCUUGGGCCGGCUUCUCCGUGGAGACACAUGCAUCCCUGGAUGUUGAUAGAGGAAAGAAUGUCUCCCCAGCCAUAGAGCCAAAGCCCCAAGCCUCACUGCAGCUGAACCUACUACAACUGGCUGAGAGAAUCCAUGUACUGAUCGACUCAGAUCAGCAAGAUCUCCUCCUCUUGAGUCAGUUGGAUUAGGCCAGGCAUGAUUCCACAUUGGAAAUGAGAUGGGAUCGAUCUUCCCCAAACACGUGGUGAAUGUUUUAUGGAGAAGAAGAGGGCAAUUACUGAUGGGUAUGAAACCACCAGCUGCCACUGUUAUGGGCGUGCAUGUUUCACUUUCUAAUUCUCAAUUUUGUUCCGGUCCAAUUUAUCACAGUUUUUUUUUUGUGUGUGUGUGUGUGUUGGGGAUUGAACCCAGGGCCUUGUGCAUGUGAGGCAGGCACUCUACCAACUGAGCUAUACUCCCAGCCUCACAGUUUCUUUUAUGGAUUAUGC
rnacentral:lncRNA from 1 species